rnacentral:rRNA from 1 species
GAUUAGAGUUUGAUCAUGGCUCAGGAUGAACGCUAGCGGGAGGCUUAACACAUGCAAGUCGAGGGGUAGGGGAGCAAUCCCCGAGCCCGGCGGACGGGUGCGUAACGCGUAUGCACCUUGCCUUAUACAGGGGGAUAGCCCGUGGAAACGCGGAUUAAUACCCCAUAUGUCAUUUGGGUCGCAUGGUCUGGAUGAUAAAACUGAGGUGGUAUAAGAUGGGCAUGCGUCUGAUUAGCUGGUUGGUAAGGUAACGGCUUACCAAGGCGACGAUCAGUAGGGGUUCUGAGAGGAUAAUCCCCCACACUGGUACUGAGGCACGGACCAGACUCCUACGGGAGGCAGCAGUGAGGAAUAUUGGUCAAUGGGCGCGAGCCUGAACCAGCCAUUCCGCGUGAAGGAAGAAGGCCUUAUGGGUUGUAAACUUCUUUUCUGUAAGAAGAAAAGUCCCGACGUGUCGGGAUGUGACGGUAUCAUAGGAAUAGCAUCG